AAAAGUAUGAAAUUUGUUUACGUAAUUUGCUACACACGGUUAACAAUGAUAUUUUUUUGAUCUUUACAAGUGGCAAAAGACGACUAGGGAAUAAACCUGGAUUAUUGAGUUGGCCUGCUAUUUAAAUUUUGACUCUUCCCUUUCUGCAGCUUCUUUAUUACUCUGUUUAUAGAUUCAUUUCUUCUUAUAAUCAGUUAUGCUUUUUUCAAAAAUAUGAUGCAGGAUCCUGACUCUGCUUCUGAUUUG
rnacentral:misc_RNA from 1 species